rnacentral:tRNA from 1 species
UCCUCUGUAGUUCAGUCGGUAGAACGGCGGUCUGUUAAUCCGUAUGUAACUGGUUCGAGUCCAGUCAGAGGAGCCA